rnacentral:rRNA from 1 species
CCCUUAGAUGCUCUGGGCCGCACGCGCGCUACACUGGUCGAUGCAACGAGUUUCUUUCCUUGGCCGACAGGCCUGGGCAAUCUUUGAACAUCGAUCGUGAUCGGGAUAGAUUCUUGUAAUUUUUGAUCUUAAACGAGGAAUUCCUAGUAAACGCAAGUCAUCAGCUUGCAUUGAUUACGUCCCUGCCCUUUGUACACACCGCCCGUCGCACCUACCGAUUGAAUGGUCCGGUGAAGCCUCCGGAUUGCGCGGCUUCGGCUGUCGCGAGAAGUUGGCUAAACCUUACCAUUUAGAGGAAGGUGAAGUCGUAACA